AUUACAUGAUGCUAUUUCUCAGCACUUUGUCUAUGUUUCAAAAAUGUUCCACAGAGCAUUCUGAAGAGCUUAUGUCACAUAAUUCGUUCUUAAAGAUUGCCAGUUCUACAGCAUGUACUAUGGUCCUGGGUGAGUUUCUUCCAGGUCUCAAAGUUGAUCUCAAAACUCCUGAGUGAAGUCUUCAGAAUAUUCUUGGAACGCUGACCAUCAUGAGUGUGUACUCCAGACUCAACUCUCUGUGAAAGAUUUGUUUUGGCCUUUAACUAUGAACAACUGCCCUGCAAGAGCUGCUGGUCAAUUAGAGGACCCGGUACUGCUACCAGGAGUGUUGAAUGCUGCUGGUGCUACAGAAGGCCUGGAAUGACAUCAUCGACGGAGGCCCAUUAUGAAGAGAAAUACAUUGGACUGACUGAGGCUAGUCAGAGCUCUCGCCACAUUGUGUACCCCCACAACUUCACUGCUAACCUUUUAAUUAGCAAUUUAGGCACCUUGACAAGCCUCUGAGUCGGAAGACAUUCUUGACUUUCUUUGCCUCUAAGUUAAUUGUUGAACUGGGGAGCGGGGGCAAAAGAGAAAAAAUGGACAGGUGUAUAUCGUUGGGAAGGUUGCAGGUUCUCUCUACAAGGUGUCUUCCUAGCCAACUGUAUAACAUCACCAACCUCCGCCUUCUGGCUGCUCCUAUGGCACACAGGGGUUGGAGAAUUAAACUCAACCUGUGGGAUGAUACAGACCAGGAAGAGGCUAUCCAAAUAAUAUGUUUUGAGGCAUAUUCCAGUUACCACUCCUCUGCUGUUUUUGUGUAGCCUCACACAUACUUUCCUUUCAAGUAUUUCCCAUGUCUUUUUGAAAAUUAUUACCAAAUUUGCAUCCAAUGUAAUCUCAAACAAUAUAUUCCACACUAUACAAAGUCACUGUAGAAGAUCUUUUUUCUUUCUUAUUUUGUUCAUGGUUCUUUUGCAAAUUACUUUACUUCUGUGUUCUCUGGUUGCCCAUCCUUUCCAACCAAGAAAUCCUCUUCAGCAGAGAGGAUACCCAGUACUCUUAAGACCCCUCAACUCAUUCUGUCAUCUAUAAUGUGUUACCAGGUGUCACAUUAAUGUCCCCUUUAAAAUCAACCCUUUUAGUUUAUAUUGCCUCUCAUUAUUCUUAUAUAAUAUUGAUCAUUUCAGACUUCUCUGCCUCAAACAUCAACCACUGUGUUUCUCCACAUUUUACCGAUCUAUCUAAAUCUUCCCAGAGUCUCUUAUUAUAUACGUCACUGGUUUUUCAGUUUCAAGUUUGUACUAUUUGCAAACUUCAAAAUUAUAGUAUGAGUACGGAUGUAUGGCUGAUUAUUACACGUCAGAAGUUGUGAUGGCUUGCAUUUUGAGCCUUAAGAAAACUACUGUGUUUCCAGUCUGCAAAAUCAUUUACUACUACUAAACACUUUCUGUCAGCUAACUCAUGAAAUAUCCUACCAGCCACUGGUCCUUUAAUAGCGUGGGUUUGUAAUUUGCUUGUAAGUUACUGGCUACUUACUGGUGUUUGUUAUGUUGUCCACGUUUUCAUACACGGACACACUUGCUUCUGAAUUUUGAUCAAAUUCUGUCAAGAAACAAAACACUAUGUUAGUGAGUAUACAGAAUACGUUGAUAUUAAACUGU